GACGAACGCUGGCGGCGUGCUUAACACAUGCAAGUCGAACGAGUGGCGAACGGGUGAGUAACACGUGGGUGACCUGCCCUGCACUUCGGGAUAAGCCUGGGAAACUGGGUCUAAUACCGGCAAGUGUGGGAUGGGCACGCGGCCUAUCAGCUUGUUGGUGGGGUAAAGGCUACCAAGGCGCAACACGUAAAUGGUCUGAGAGGGUGAUCAGUCACACUGGAACUGAGACACGGUCCAGACGCCUACGGGAGUCAGCAGUGGGGAAUAUUGGACCAUGGGCGAAAGCCGGAUCCAGCCAUGCCGCGUGUGUGAAGAAGGUCUUCGGAUUGUAAAGCACUUUAAGUUGGGAUGCGUUACCAACAGAAUAAGCACCGGCUAACUUCGUGCCAGCAGCCGCGGUAAUAC
rnacentral:rRNA from 1 species